GCCGCAUUCACACAGCAGCCUCAGCCCGGCCAGGCAGCGCGCGCGGCUCCUUGGGGGCACCCUCGCGGCGGGGGUGGGGGUUGCGGGGCGGGCCUGAAGGAGCGUCCCUCUCGGAGACACACUUUUCCCCUACUCGCCACGCGCUCUCAACUGGCCUGUGUGGCGCAAUCCUCCCCCCACCUCCCCGUCUUGGCCUUCGCAAGUGUGGGAGCGUCGCGGCACUGUCGAGUCCCUCCAGCACCCCAACUAGAAGACAAGUCCCCUGAGGGAAGAUCUGCAUUUUGUUUACUGGAUUGUCCUGCGAUCCUAGAAGAAUGUCUACCACAAUUGAAGUGAGGAUUUGAAACUCUGUGCUAUCCGGGGUCCCUUCCAGCUCUGAAGGUGUGAUUCUGUGACCCACAAGUCGAUCUCUCACUGAAAAAGCCAGCCCAACAUAAAAUCCAUUACAUCAAGGGCCUGCAAAGAGAAAGAGGUUCCUAAAAAUAUUUUUUUUUCUUUUUAGAUAAA